GGGUAAUGAGGCAUAAAGGUCUGCUGUCUAGAGAGUCAGUCCAGCCCUAAUAGAGGGAGGACCCAAAGAGAAGAAGUGUCAUUUGGUGAAGAGAAAGGAACAGACUGCCCAGGGAGCCAAUUACCGGAGCCAGAAGAGGAUGCUCAGCCUAGCAGGGAGACCACAGUCAGGAUGGCAAGAGCCUGCGACAUUGUGGGGAGGUUGUUUCUGCCUCUAAGAUGCAAAGUGACCCAUGACCCAGCCCUGUCUUUUUAGGUAGCAAUUCUUGGCAAUAUUCUUUUCUAAAUACCUCUUGCAGCCAGCCCCUCCUCUCCAAGAUCUGCCUCAACACCUCUCAGCUGGGCUCUGCCUUGUACUUGCUCUGAUUGAAUUGAUUUUUCUCACUUCCAACCUCUCCUCCACAGAGUUGUCAGAAAGCCCUUUGUGGAACCACCUGGGAUUAGGUCAGUUUACGCUUAAAGUAACUCAUGACCCCCAAGUCCAUAAGCCUGGUAUAUAUAUGAAAGCCUUCCCCAUGUGGCCUCUGCUCCAUCCACGCUUGCCUCCAACCAUCACAACCACUUUCCCUGGAAACUCCACUCUCUGUCUUGCCUCCAAGCCUUUGCCUACACUGAACCUGCCACCUGGAAUAGCGUUCUCAGGAAAUAAUACAUUGUAGUGGUUAAAUGUAUAGGUUCCAAAGUUAGAUCACCUGAGCUUGAAUCCUGGGGCUGUCAUUUCUUAAUCAUGUAAACUUGGGUGCAGUAUUUAACCUAAGUAUAAUUUUCAUCAUGGUUGAUAUGAAAAGCAAUAGCCAUAAUGCCUAUUUCAUAACUUUGUUGUGAGGAUUAAAUGAGAUAAUCUAUAUAUAGCAGUCAGCCCAGUGCCAAGUGUAGAGGAAGCACACGAUAAAUGUUAUUAUGAUAAUAAGCAUCCAUCACGAGCCAGGUCAUUGACAGCAAUGACCGUAGAAAGAUGAGUAAAUUGUUUUGCAUUUUAUUAGCUCAUCUUUGGAACUAAAUAUAGAAUUAAUUUUUUUUCUUCUGUUUUUCAUUGAUGGAGAGCAACACAUAAAACAGGCAAUUGGUGAAUGCUCACUGGAAGGAUGAAUGAAUGAAUUCGUUAAGUAGAUAAAUUGGAUAUUUUACCCAACAUAAUUAUUUAAAAGAAAAAGACAAAAGUGACAUUAAGAAACAUGCAAAAUUAAUUUGAAGGUUAAUGUAAAAAUUGCAAAUGUGAGGCAGGAAAAGAAACACUUUUCCAACUGAGAACAAUCUAAGUUAAGCCCCUUAAUCAUUCCCAUCUGGAGAGAAGGUGAGCGCCGUUUGGCUUGGAGCUCAUUCAUUCCCCAUCAUGCCUGACUUGAGUGCCUUCCACGAUGCUGUGUCAGAUGCCUUUCAGUAAUGUAGUCAAUGUGCACAGUACAUCACAGGCUGCAAAGCCCUACCUUAACGUGGAUCCUGGGAGGAAUGAUACUCAGACCAAGUCUAAGGCAGGGAGGAUAAGAAACAUUGUCCCAUUGAACAGCUGAGGAAGCAGGCUAGAAAUAAGUCUGGCAACUUUUUUCAGGUCACUAAGUGCAAAGUCACAGAGCCAGGACGAUCUAAAUGCUGAACUCUAUUCUGCCCUCCUCUGCUGAGUGACAUGUACAAGGGUGUUCCUUAGCUUCUUCUCGUUCCUUCCCAGGAAGGCUUCUCACCUGUAAGGGAACAAGAGUUCCUCUGUCCUAGUGUACAGUGAUAUGAAGUCUAGGAAAGGGAAAGACAAAAAGAAGACCUGGAGGAAGAGAAGAGGGGGCAGUAAAUUUGAGGAUUUGCUGAGAUUGGGUUUUCAAGAAUAAAAAACGCAUAUAGGGUAGUAAUGGGAUCCAUUGUUCCCAAACAUAUUUCCUUUUGGCCCGGGUUGUUCCUAGACCCAGAAUUAGAGCUUGUCGUGUCUCCUCCAAACAAGCAAAGAGUGCUCUUUUUGGCUACAAAGAUCUGUCUCACUGGCUCCUCUGAGAGGUAGAUUUAUACCCAGGUCCAGAGUAAGCAUUUAGGGGACAAAUGAUUUCAUCAGAAGUAGUUUCAUGUGGAAUUCUUUGACGGUGAAUGAGGCAUUCCUAAAUGCAUGGAUGGUGUUGUUGGCAGAAUCAUUGAGGACUGGAGAGGCAAUUCUGUACCCAGGAUACGUGUCUAUUCCAGUAAUGGCAUAUGUCCGCCCCCGCCCAUGUUUGGAAGGUCCAGUGUAAUCAACUUGCCACCAAGUGGCUGACUGGUCCCCUAGGGAAGGUGCCCCACUGGGGGCUGAGCAUCUCCAUUGCUUGCAGGUCAGGCAUGCUUCAGUCCUGUUGGCAGUAGUCAUGAUCAGAAUAUUCACAGAGGGUGUUUCUGGGUAACAAGAUGAUUACUGUUGCCUUCUGGCUGAUUUACAUUUCAUAAUUUCCUAACAACUACUUUGCAUUUCUUGUGUAACAAAUAAUAAAAGUAAAUUUAAAAUUGGCCUAAAGCAAUUAUUUAAUGUGUUUAGGGAACAGAGUGAGAGGGGCAGGCAGGACCACCAUUUGCAUAUGCCUGUGAACCUGAGACUGUCCUACUCAUUCAAUGACAGUCAUAAUAACCAUCACUGGAAUAUCACCUCAUCAUGAGAUGCUUACAACCCUGGAUUUACAGAGGCAGAAAUGUAGGCUCAGAGAAAGCCCUUUGUCUCUCUCUUUUUACUCAUUCCCAGGAAGUGCCUCACCUGCAAGGGAGAGAGAGUUUACCUGAACAUCUCGCCUAUACAUUGAGAUGAAGACCAGCUAAAGAGAAAAGCAAAAAUGAAAGCUAAGGCAUGGAGGAGGGGAAGCAGGUGGGUGGGUUUUCAAUGUUACACUUUGAGCUGGGGCUCAAAGCCAGGAGAGGAAUGCCUCAUUGUUGUCCUUGUUGAUAGUGUGUCGCUAACUCUUUGCUUUGGUGCCAUGUUCAGCUGGAACCUGAGGCUCUUAGGGACUUUAGGCCUCUGAGAAGUUUCCUUCCAGUGGGAUAUAGGAUGUUUGAUUUUCUUUAGCUGAAACCUGUGCUGUGGAGCGCUGUGAUUACACAGUUCCUCCAAUGACACUCAGUGCACACCCUGCUUUUGAUGACAUUUCCAAAGCCCCUAUUAGAAGCCUAAACACUGCUUGCCAUUGGAUUAUAAAACCAUCAAAGCAACUCCAUUUACUAGACUCAACUACCUGGCAGUUUCCCUAUCAUUGGGUUUAAUUGGCUCAGUUAUGAAUUUGUUAUUGACUUAACCUCAUCUUUUAUGGGAGGCAUGCAAAUAGCCCCUGCACCUUAUCUUAAAUUGUAAUACUUGACAGUCUGAAGCUCCCAUCAAAAUAGAAGUCUUUUCAUGUAUCUGAGGAUCCAAACUGUCAUUCUGGGAAUCUGAACUUUUGAUUAAUUGCACAAUAAUAAAUUCUCA
rnacentral:lncRNA from 1 species